rnacentral:rRNA from 1 species
ACGGGUGAGUAACGCGUGGAUGAUCUACCCUUGAGUUCGGGAUAACGGAACGAAAGAUCCGCUAAUACCGUAUAACAAUCCAUUUCAUCGUGGGUUCAAAGCAGGCCUCUUCGUGAAAGCUUGCGCUUGGGGAUGAGUCCGCGUCCCAUUAGCUUGUUGGCGGGGUAACGGCCCACCAAGGCAACGAUGGGUAGCUGGUCUGAGAGGAUGAUCAGCCACACUGGAACUGAAACACGGUCCAGACUCCUACGGGAGGCAGCAGUGGGGAAUAUUGCGCAAUGGGGGAAACCCUGACGCAGCGACGUCGUGUGAGGGAAGAAGGCCUUCGGGUCGUAAACCUCUGUCAGAAGGGAAGAAAAACCAGGAGUCAAAUAGCCUCUUGGUCUGGCGGUACCUUCAAAGGAAGCGCCGGCUAACUCCGUGCCAGCAGCCGCGGUAAUACGGAGGGCGCAAGCGUUAAUCGGAAUUACUGGGCGUAAAGCGUGCGUAGGCUGUUUGAUAAGUCAGACGUGAAAUCCCUCGGCUCAACCGGGGGACUGCGUUUGAUACUGUUGGACUAGAGUCCUGGAGAGGGUGGCGGAAUUC